CCAAGGAGUCUAACAUGUGCGCGAGUCACUCGGUCUUGAAUAGGCCAGAGAGGCGCAAUGAAAGUAAUGUUGAUUGAGUUACGAUCCUUAUGCAGUCAUCCGUAUGGGUGACGGUAAGGCGCAGUAACAGCCCGCCAAUUUCGCUUAUUGACGAUAUGGCGGAGUUGUAGCGUACACGUUGGUACCCGAAAGAUGGUGAACUAUGCCUGGGCAGGACGAAGCCAGAGGAAACUCUGGUGGAGGUUCGUAGAAAUUUUGACGUGCAAAUCAAUUUUCAGACCUGGGUAUAGGGGCGAAAGACUAAUCGAACCAUC
rnacentral:rRNA from 1 species